GAUUGUACAGGGUGCAAGAGAAACGCUUUGUUGCUUGAAGCCAGAACAUUUGUCGCUGAUGCGUUGGGCUUUCACCUUCUCAAAGACCUUGUGUGUGUUUGCAUUACUUGGUUAUAUCGACGCCAUUGUGCUUGCUAUGAUUGCUGAGAAUUAAUAGCGGUGGGAGGUGCAACACAUGUCGAUAUAGCUUGUGACCGAGAAUUGGUAAAGCUUGCUCUGGAUUUGAUGUCUCUACCAGUAAUUCUUGCGCAUUUGUGUUUCCUCUGUGGAC